UUUAGUGUCCGGAUGUGGUUGUGUGUAGAAGGCCCAAGUGCUUGGGUGGUCUCACUUGCCUUCCCGAGUUUUCUGGAAGUAGAUUCUUUUCUUUUUUUUUUUUUUCGGAGCUGGGGACCGAACCCAGGGCCUUGCGCUUGCUAGGCAAGUGCUCUACCACUGAGCUAAAUCCCCAACCCCUCUUUUCUUUAAAAAAGUCAGUGUUUCUUUGUGUAUCCCUGCCUACCAGGCUAGCCUCAAACUCUGAGAUCUGCCUGCCUCUGCCUCCCAAGGGCUGGGACUAAGGGCGAGCUGCAUCAUUGGCUGGCAUGUGUACUUUUUUCUACUGUUCCUAGACUAAUUACUGGAGAGCGGCUAAUGAUCUGUGUGUCUCUUUCUGCUGGGAAAGCUCACAUUGUGAGUGUGACUAGCACUUUAUCCAGCCCAUUCAGACGGGGUCCUAAAACGCAUGUACAUCCGAUUGUCAUUUCCUACAUGCAGAUGUAUAGCUCAGUAAUCAAGUCAGUUGCAAGCCAGACAUUUACAUACACACAUUCUAGAGGGGAAAGAAAAUUAUUGCUAUGUUGACUAGCCUUGUUCAUAAAUGCUCAUCCUCACUGGAAUAGUGUAACAAUGUUAGUCUCAAGUGACUUUAAGCUCCUUUACUCAAACCAAUCGACUAGCAAUCAAACCAAUAGAUUGGUAACCAGACCAGCAGUUAGUUUUGAAAAGACUAAAAAGACAUGGUUUUGAAGUCUUGCAGAGUGAUGCCUAGAA
rnacentral:lncRNA from 1 species